UUGAUGGCGACCGGCGCACGGGUGCGUAACGCGUAUCCAAUCUACCGCAUACUCGGGGAUAGCCUUGCGAAAGUAAGAUUAAUACCCGAUGUUGUGCAUUGCCCGCAUGGGCGGUGUACCAAAGAAUUUCGGUAUGCGAUGAGGAUGCGUCCCAUUAGGUAGUUGGUGAGGUAACGGCUCACCAAGCCUCCGAUGGGUAGGGGUUCUGAGAGGAAGAUCCCCCACACUGGAACUGAGACACGGUCCAGACUCCUACGGGAGGCAGCAGUGAGGAAUAUUGGUCAAUGGGCGAGAGCCUGAACCAGCCAAGUAGCGUGCAGGAUGACGGCCCUCUGGGUUGUAAACUGCUUUUAUACGGGGGUAAAAAACGCCACGUGUGGCGUCUUGCAAGUACCGUAAGAAAAAGGACCGGCUAAUUCCGUGCCAGCAGCCGCGGUAAUACGGAAGGUUCGGGCGUUAUCCGGAUUUAUUGGGUUUAAAGGGAGCGUAGGCGGGUGUUUAAGUCAGCUGUGAAAGUUUGAGGCUUAUACUUAAAAUUGCAGUUGAUACUGGAUACCUUGAGUGUGCGCAGCGGCAUUGGAAUUCGUAGUGUAGCGGUGAAAUGCUUAAAUAUUAUGAA
rnacentral:rRNA from 1 species